rnacentral:lncRNA from 1 species
UGUGAUUCAAGUUGAUGUAAAACAAUUUUGAUCAAUUAAAUCCUUUGAUCAUGUAUAACCCCAUAGUCCAUUCAAGUGAUCAAAAGUCACUUGAUCACUUGAUAAGAUUAAUUUUAACGUUGUGGAUCUCCAAGCUUCAAGACCAACCUUUAUGCAAGAUAUCCCAGUCAUAUCAAGCAGUGAAUUAUACAAGAUAAAUCAAAUGUCAACACUUGGCAAAUACGAUUCGAAUUGGACGAUACGAG